rnacentral:rRNA from 1 species
GACGAACGCUGGCGGCGUGCCUAAUACAUGCAAGUCGCGCGAAGUUUUUCUGGUGCUUGCACUAGAACAACUUAGCGGCGAACGGGUGAGUAACACGUAAAGAAUCUGCCUCAUAGACUGGGACAACUAUUGGAAACGAUCGCUAAUACCGGAUAACAGUAUUUCUCGCAUGAGAGAUAUUUAAAAGUUGUUUAUGCUAACACUAUGAGAUGUCUUUGCGGUGCAUUAGCUAGUUGGUGGGGUAAAGGCCCACCAAGGCGACGAUGCAUAGCCGACCUGAGAGGGUGAUCGGCCACACUGGGACUGAGACACGGCCCAGACUCCUACGGGAGGCAGCAGUAGGGAAUCUUCCGCAAUGGGCGAAAGCCUGACGGAGCAACGCCGCGUGAGUGAAGAAGGAUUUCGGUUCGUAAAGCUCUGUUGUUAGGGAAGAAUGGAUAUGUAGUAACUAUACAUGUAAGAGACGGUACCUAACCAGAAAGCCACGGCUAACUACGUG